rnacentral:tRNA from 1 species
GGUUCGUCGAGGACGUCCUGCGCGAGGUCGCCGCGCUGGCGCCGGGGCCGUUCCUGCACGUCGGCGGGGACGAGGCGUUCGGCAUGCCCGACGAGCUG